CCACGGGGUGCUCCCUUGAUUUGAUUCUCUACCCCUUCUUCUAGGGAUGGGGCUUCCUGAGAGCCGAUCUGAAGUGAUUUUUACUUCUCUUCUGGAAUUUAGCAGAUCUACCAGGCUCCACACUGAUACUGGGCAGUGUCUGCAGAGUUCUGUGAUUUGAUCCAUCUUCAGGUUUCUCAGCCAUGGAUACCAGCUUCUGCUCUGGUAGAAGUAAGCAAAGGAGUGAAACAGAUUCCGUGAGGGUCCUUGGUUUAUUUUUGCUAAGUGUGCUGGUUUUGUGUCAGUUAGUCUCCAGCCGGGAUGUGGCACUUUCAAGAGUGCAUCAACUGCAGUAGUAUAGAUAGGAUACAAGCUUGCCCUAGGGCCAGGCAUUGGGUGAGGUCAUAGAGCUCUCAAGACAUUAUGUCCUUGGUCUUCAACUACCAGGGUGGAUAGAGAAGAACUGUCAGGUAGGCACAGGGUUAAGGGUGUCUGAGAUCAGACUCUUUUUGGGUGGGGCUUGCUGCAGCAGCUGUGGUGUAUGGGGGUGUGGUUCUCAGGCCAAUGCAGUUCUGUUUCCAGAGGUAUUAUGGCUGCCUCUGCUGCAUCACAGAGGUCACCAAGGAAGUGGGAGAAAGCCAUCAGCCACAUGCUUCACCCAACUCUCACACAGCCUGCAGCCCGAAAGACUGGUCUUACUCCACCAUGCUCCCCCAAUGACACCAAGUUUAUUUCCAGGCAGCAGAUGAGCAAGGCUGAGAACGUGCCCCAGAGUACAAGUCUUACAACUAAGAAGAUACAUCGACUCACAGUUCCUUGGCUGUCCCAUGGAGCCAGCAGCAGCAAUCCCCCUCCUUCAAAGGAUAUAUGGAGUAUCUCAGCUUUCCUGGUUAAACGAGUCAUCAGAGGUCAAGCCACUUUCAAAGAAAUUAUGACUUUAACCCAGAUAAGCUUGGAAAUGGAUCCUUCCUCAGUCCAACCUCCAGAUGAGAAUGCAUCUCAAAAGGAAGCAGAAGCCUUUCACGUGUAUUCACAAUUUAUAUCAAGCAUGGCAAAUUGA
rnacentral:lncRNA from 13 species